GACAGAGGGUGCAAACGUUGUUCGGAAUUACUGGGCGUAAAGCGUGUGUAGGCGGUCCACUAAGUCGGGUGUGAAAGCCCUGGGCUCAACCCAGGAAGUGCACUCGAUACUGGCGGGCUAGAGUACUGGAGAGGUUGGUGGAAUUCUCGGUGUAGAGGUGAAAUUCGUAGAUAUCGAGAGGAACACCGGUGGCGAAGGCGGCCAACUGGACAGAUACUGACGCUGAGACACGAAAGCGUGGGGAGCAAACAGG
rnacentral:rRNA from 1 species